rnacentral:tRNA from 1 species
GGGUUAUUAGCUUAGCUGGUAGAGCAGCCGACUCUUAAUCGGCAGGUCGCAGGUUCGACCCCUGCCAUAACCCA